UACAGGGGGGGCAAGCGUUGUUCGGAAUUACUGGGCGUAAAGGGCUCGUAGGCGGCCAACUAAGUCCGACGUGAAAUCCCAAAGCUUAACUUUGGAACUGCGUCGGAUACUGGAUGGCUUGAAUUCGGGAGAGGGAUGCAGAAUUCCAGGUGUAGCGGUGAAAUGCGUAGAUAUCUGGAGGAAUACCUGAGGUGAAGACGGGUUGCUGGGCUGACACUGACGCUGAGGCGCGAAAGCUAGGGUAGCAAACGGG
rnacentral:rRNA from 1 species